ensembl:snoRNA U3 Small nucleolar RNA U3
AAGCCUGUACUCUCAGGGAUCACUGCUGUAGUUACGAGAUAAGCGUCUCUGCACAUGCAGAGCACUCAUAACCAUAUUAAGAGUCUCCUGAGUGUGACUCUGGCUGUUGGUGUUGCUUUGCUGCAGCUGCCGUGUGCCAUUGGUGAUCCUGCUUCUCUUGCUUUGGGAAAGUAAGAGGGAGAGAACAGAGAGUGGG